AACUACCCGCUAUGCGGGAGGUUCCGAAAAGCUUACAGCUUUGCAUAUGUUAUAAAAACUCCUUUUGAUUUGUUAGUAAAGCUUGCGGUCUGGCAACUGCAAGCGGCAACAAAUCAAAAG
rfam:Bilophila wadsworthia 3_1_6 genomic scaffold acCls-supercont2.1, whole genome shotgun sequence.